rnacentral:tRNA from 1 species
GCGGGAGUAGCUCACGGAGAGCGCCGGGGAUACCACCUCGGAGGUCGCGGCUUCGACACCGCCUCCCGCU